CGCGCUCGGUCAAGCGGUUACUGUGUGGGGCGGCAGGGGGCGGUACUGCUCAGAAACAUAGAGGAAUGGCUCGUGCGCGAACGCUUCAUUGCAGAUUGAGUGUGUCAGUGACUCUCAGGAGACAUGUGUGUCAGGAAGGCUCCAGAACCUCUCAUCCCCACCCUUGGAUGGUGUCCCUCAUAGAACCUUCACAUUGCGGCGCAGUGCAAGGCUAAGCAAGCAAACGACUUCAGGAGAAGUGUCUGAUAUAGUUCUCUGUAAUGUAGGGAAAAUGUCUGCUUUAGCUCCAGACCCACACCUGCAAUGCCGGGUUUCCCAGUCUUCUACACAGUCCAUUGGGUGCCAUGAAAUUUCACGGUAUUCAUCUGCAGUCAGCACAGCAGAUACUUACAGAGGAACAAAGAGGUCACUACUAACCAAGAUAAGGCAGGAUCUCUCCCUAAGCAUGAUUCACAAAAGGAACAAGUUUGGAGAAACCCUCCUGCAUCUAGCAGUGAUGGAUGGGGAUGAAAAGCUUGUGAAAGAUAUGCUACAGAUUGGGGCCAGUGCAAACAUACCUGAUAAUGCAGGUAAAGAACAGCUGACAUUAUUUAUAAGAUGGUGUUUCUGGUCAAAGACGGUAUUGUCUGCGAUUAUUAAUUCUAUCUGA
rnacentral:lncRNA from 1 species